rnacentral:rRNA from 1 species
GACGAACGCUGGCGGCGUGCCUAAUACAUGCAAGUCGAACGGAAAGGCCCUGCUUUUGUGGUGUGGUCGAGUGGCGAACGGGUGAGUAACACGUGAGUAACCUGCCCUUGACUUUGGGAUAACUUCAGGAAACUGGGGCUAAUACCGCAUAGGAGCUCCUGCUGCAUGGUGGGGACUGGAAAGUUUCGGCGGUUUGGGAUGGACUCGCGGCUUAUCAGCUUGAUGGUGUAGUAGGGGCUUACCAAGGCUUUGACGGGUAGCCGGCCUGGGAGGGUGACCGGGCACAGUGGGCCUGCGGUAGGGCCCAGACGGCUACGGGAGGCAGCGGUGGAAAACAUUGCGCAAUGGGCGGAAGCCUGAUGCAGCGGUGCCGCGUUCGGGAUGACGGCUUUCGGGUUGUAAACCGCUUUCGCCUGUAACGAACACUGAGUGACGGUAACUGAUAAGGAAGCACCGGCUAACUACGUG